UACAGAGGUGGCAAGCGUUGUUCGGAAUUACUGGGCGUAAAGGGCGCGUAGGCGGCCAUCUAAGUCAGACGUGAAAUCCCCCGGCUUAACCUGGGAACUGCGUCUGAUACUGGAAGGCUCGAGUUUGGGAGAGGGAUGUGGAAUUCCAGGUGUAGCGGUGAAAUGCGUAGAUAUCUGGAGGAACACCGGUGGCGAAGGCGGCAUCCUGGACCAACACUGACGCUGAGGCGCGAAAGCGUGGGGAGCAAACAGG
rnacentral:rRNA from 1 species